GACGAACGCUGGCGGCGUGCUUAACACAUGCAAGUCGAACGGUGAAGCGAGUGCUUGCACUCGGGGAUCAGUGGCGAACGGGUGGGUAAGGCGUGAGGAACCUGGCGAGCACUCUGGGAUAAGCACUGGAAACGGGGUGUAGGACUGGAUACGACCUACCCUUGCAUGGUGUGUUUGCGGAAAGAUUGAUCGGUGAUGUAUGGACUCGCGGCGUAGGAGCUUGGUGGCGGGGUAAUGGCCAACGAAGGCGAAGACGGGUAGCCGGCCUGAGAGGGUGACCGGCCACAGUGGGACUGAGACACGGACCAGACUCAUACGGCAGGGAGCAGUGGGGAUUAUUGAACAAUGGGCGAGAGCCUGAUGCAGAGACGCCGCGUGCGGGAUGUCGGCAUUCGGGUUGUAAACCUAAUUCAGCAGGGAAGAAGCGAAAGUGACGGUACCUGAAGAAGAAGCACCGGCUAACUACGUG
rnacentral:rRNA from 1 species